CAGGUGUUACCUAGUGGACAGGUGUUACCUAGUAGACAGCUGGUGAACAGGUGUUACCUAGUAGACAGCUGGUGAACAGGUGUUACCUAGUGAACAGGUGUUACCUAGUGGACAGGUGUUACCUAGCGGGCAGCUGGUGAACAGGUGUUACCUAGUGGACAGCAGGUGAACAGGUGUUACCUAGUGGACAGGUGUUACCUAGUGGACAGGUGUUACCUAGUGGACAGGUGUUACCUAGUGGACAGGUGUUACCUAGUGGACAGGUGUUACCUAGUGAACAGGUGUUACCUAGUGGACAGGUGUUACCUAGUAGACAGGUGCUACCUAGUAGACAGGUGCUACCUAGUGAACAGCUGUUACCUGGUGAACAGGCCUUACCUGGGUAACAUCUGGACAGGUACAGUACAGGUCCAGAUAAUUAUUCAGUGUUCUGACAGGUCACCCUCUGUGUAGACUACCAGCCAGAAGCAGCUGAUCAUUUAAUUAACAUAGGAAGCCUAAUUAUCCCAGCGCUGAACAUUUUGCCAAAUUAUCUGUUGCACUCGUUCUGAAUAAGCGAUAUUCGUAACACAUUAGAAACCUUGGAAUGUAUUUAAAAGCAUGUCCCCCUCGCUGGAGGAGGAGCUAGCCUACAGUUACCCUCAAGUCAAUGGGAGCGGCUAACAGAAAGCUAACCCCACAAACCCCCCUUCUGGAUGUAC
ensembl:lncRNA